AGACACAGAGAGACAGAGAGCCUGCUCUGGGAGUCCAGAUGGGCUCACAUCCAGAACACCGCAGCCAAGAAGACCCUGCUGCUGGGGACAAUAAAGAUGGCCACCCUGAACCUGUACCAGAUCGUGUGCAAGAGGGCCCGGGACACUGGGGAGGAGCCCAUCGCCCUGGAGGACACCCCCCGACAGCUGCAGAAGAUCCAGACCUAUCUGACGGAUCUGAUGUCCGUCUGGGAGGAACUAAGCAAACCUGACAGCCAGGCUGGGACCACAACGCACGGCUCACAUAGAUAGGCUCUGGCUGCCCCUCGUGCGCCACAAACACACACCCGACAGUCUGCGCUGCCACCUGCUGUUGGGUCCAUCACAUUACAGCAGGGAAAUAUCCUCCCCCAACAUGGCAAAUAAAGAUUUACUGUUUGGAUACCAAG